UACGUAGGGGGCAAGCGUUGUCCGGAUUUAUUGGGCGUAAAGAGCGUGGUAGGCGCCUGACAAGUCUGCUGUGAAAACUCGAGGCUCAACCUCGAAGAUGUCGGCGGAAACUGUCUGGCUAGAGUCCGGAAAGAGGAGAGUGGAAUUCCUGGUGUAGGCGGUGAAAUGCGCAGAUAUCAGGAAGAACACCUAUGGCGAAGGCAGCUCUCUGGGACGGUAGCUGACGCUGAGACGCGAAAAGCGUGGGGAGCGAACAGG
rnacentral:rRNA from 1 species